GUGCCAGCAGCCGCGGUAAUACGUAGGGGGCAAGCGUUGUCCGGAAUCAUUGGGCGUAAAGCGCGUGUAGGCGGCUUCGUAAGUCCGUUGUGAAAGUCCAGGGCUCAACCCUGGAAUGCCGAUGGAUACUGCGGAGCUAGAGUCCGGAAGAGGCGAGUGGAAUUCCUGGUGUAGCGGUGAAAUGCGCAGAUAUCAGGAGGAACACCAAUGGCGAAGGCAGCUCGCUGGGACGGUACUGACGCUGAGACGCGAAAGCGUGGGGAGCAAACAGGAUUAGAAACCCGCGUAGUCC
rnacentral:rRNA from 1 species